CUUAUUAGACAUUCUCUGCACAUCACACAUUUUGCAAAACAGUACACACAUUGAUUUACAAAACUCUUUAAACCCAUUUCUCUACUUUAGACACAGACAAC